rnacentral:lncRNA from 1 species
CUUCUUUUUUCAAUGUUAGAUUAAUAAGUUGGAUUACAAGUUGUUCAAGAGGGAAGGAUGUAAGCACUACCACACUCUUGGGGAGAUAUUCAGCGGGACUACAUCUACUGAAGGAUUAGGCAGUGCCUCCACCCAGCUUCCAAACACAUUAGAGGAAGAAAGAUAGCUAGAAGAUGAUUUUUUGAAUAGGGAGUACAUGUGACUGCGAAAAAUGAUGAUGAAGUUGAUGUGGUUUCAAAUACUCGUC